rnacentral:rRNA from 1 species
UACGAGGGGUGCAAGCGUUGCUCGGAAUUAUUGGGCGUAAAGGGUAGGUAGGUGGUCUCAUUUGUCUGGGGUGAAAGCCUUGAGCUUAACUCAAGAAGUGCCCCGGAAACGGUGAGACUGGAGUCCUGGAGAGGGUCGUGGAAUUCCCGGUGUAGCGGUGAAAUGCGUAGAGAUCGGGAGGAACACCAGUGGCGAAGGCGGCUUCUGGUCAGUAACUGACACUGAGGCGCGAAAGCGUGGGGAGCAAACAGG